AUUGAACGCUGGCGGCAGGCCUAACACAUGCAAGUCGAACGAGUGGCGGACGGGUGAGUAAUGUCUGGGAAACUGCCUGAUGGAGGGGGAUAACUACUGGAAACGGUAGCUAAUACCGCAUACCAUCGGAUGUGCCCAGAUGGGAUUAGCUAGUAGUUGGGGGAAGGGCUCACCUCGGCGUUGAUCCCUAGCUGGUCUGAGAGGAUGACCAGCCACACUGGAAAUGAGCAAAGGGCCAGACGCCUACGGGAGGCAGCAGUGUGGAAUAUUUCACAAUGGGCGAAAUCCUGAUGCAGCCAUGCCGCGUUUAUGAAGAAGGCCUUCGGGUUGUAAAGUACUUUCAGCGGGGAGGCGUUACCCGCAGAAGAAGCACCGGCUAACUCCGUGCCAGCAGCCGCGGUAAUAC
rnacentral:rRNA from 1 species